rnacentral:rRNA from 1 species
CUGAAGGAACGUUAAAGACGAUGACGUUGAUAGGCCGGGUGUGUAAGCGCAGCGAUGCGUUGAGCUAACCGGUACUAAUGAACCGUGAGGCUUAACCUUACAACGCCGAAG